GUGCUCGCUUCAGCAGCACAUAUACUAAAACUGGAAUGAUACAGAGAAGAUUAGCAUGGCCCCUGCGCAAGGAUGACACGCAAAUACUUAGGUCUCUGUCAACCACAU
rnacentral:snRNA from 1 species